rnacentral:ncRNA from 1 species
CAUGAACGCGGAAUGUUCGGUUCCGGGGGUAUCCUCGGAAGCAAUAGGGAAUGCAGUGCGGCACAUGUGUGCCAAGUCUGCAACUGCCCCCGCAACUGUAAGCGGUGAGUGCGGCUGAUAAUACCACUGGGACACCCCGGGAAGGUCAGCCAAGCGCUUUGACCCGCGAGUCAGGAGACCUGCCGAACAUGCGCCCCCGGAA